UACGUAGGCAGCGAGCGUUGUUCGGAAUUACUGGGCGUAAAGAGUGUGUAGGCGGCGCGGUAAGUCACUUGUGAAAUCUCUGAGCUUAACUCAGAACGGCCAAGUGAUACUGCAGUGCUAGAGUGCAGAAAGGGCAAUCGGAAUUCUUGGUGUAGCGGUGAAAUGCGUAGAUAUCAAGAGGAACACCUGAGGCGAAGGCGGGUUGCUAGGCUGACACUGACGCUGAUGCGCGAAAGCCAGGGGAGUAAACGGG
rnacentral:rRNA from 1 species